rnacentral:rRNA from 1 species
AGAUUGAACGCUGGCGGCAUGCCUUACACAUGCAAGUCGAACGGCAGCACGGGAGCAAUCCUGGUGGCGAGUGGCGAACGGGUGAGUAAUAUAUCGGAACGUGCCCAGUAAUGGGGGAUAGCCCGGCGAAAGCCGGAUUAAUACCGCAUACGACCUAUGGGUGAAAGCGGGGGAUCGCAAGACCUCGCGUUAUUGGAGCGGCCGAUAUCAGAUUAGCUUGUUGGCGGGUAAAAGCCCACCAAGGCAACGAUCUGUAGCUGGUCUGAGAGGACGACCAGCCACACUGGGACUGAGACACGGCCCAGACUCCUACGGGAGGCAGCAGUGGGAAUUUGGACAAUGGGCGCAAGCCUGAUCCAGCCAUGCCGCGUGUGGGAAGAAGGCCUUCGGUUGUAAACCACUUUUGUCAGGAAGAAACGCUUCUACUAAUAUUAGAGGCUAAUGACGGUACUGAAGAAUAAGACACCGGCUAACUACGU